AUGUUGAAGAAUAUGUUUCCGAAGAAUAACGAGUUGCCCGCCAGUACGUACGAAGCAAAGAAGGUUGUCUGCCCUCUAGGUUUAGAGGUUCUGAAGAUACAUGCAUGCAUUAACGACUGCAUCCUCUACCGCGGUGAAUACGAGAAUUUGAAUGAAUGCCCUAUAUGCACUGCAUUGCGUUAUAAGAUCAGAGGCGAUGACCCUGGUGACGAUGUUGAGGGCGAGAAACCCAGGAAGAGGGUUCCCGCCAAGGUGAUGUGGUAUGCUCCUAUAAUACCACGGUUGAAACGUCUGUUCAUGAACAAA
rnacentral:rRNA from 1 species